AUUGAACGCUGGCGGCAUGCUUUACACAUGCAAGUCGAACGGCAGCGCGGGGCAACCUGGCGGCGAGUGGCGAACGGGUGAGUAAUACAUCGGAACGUACCCAGAAGUGGGGGAUAACGUAGCGAAAGUUACGCUAAUACCGCAUACGUUCUACGGACGAAAGUGGGGGACCUUCGGGCCUCAUGCUUUUGGAGCGGCCGAUGUCUGAUUAGCUAGUUGGUGAGGUAAAGGCUCACCAAGGCGACGAUCAGUAGCUGGUCUGAGAGGACAACCAGCCACACUGGGACUGAGACACGGCCCAGACUCCUACGGGAGGCAGCAGUGGAGAAGUUUGGACAAUGGGCGCAAGCCUGAUCCAGCAAUGCCGCGUGAGUGAAGAAGGCCUUCGGGUUGUAAAGCUCUUUUGUCAGGGAAGAAACGGCUGAGGUUAAUACCUUCGGCUAAUGACGGUACCUGAAGAAUAAGCACCGGCUAACUACGUGCCAGCAGCCGCCGUAACAC
rnacentral:rRNA from 1 species